GACGAACGCUGGCGGCGUGCUUAACACAUGCAAGUCGAACGGAGUGGCGAACGGGUGAGUAACACGGGGGUUACCUGCCCGGCACUUCGGGAUAAACCGGGGAAACUGGGUCUGAUACCGGGUAGUGUGGGAUGGGCCCGCGGGCUAUCAGCUUGUUGGUGGGGUAAUGGCCUACCAAGGCGGCGACGGGUAGCCGGCCUGGGAGGGUGGACGGCCACAUGGGGCCUGCGACACGGCCCAGACUGCUACGGGGGGCAGCAGUGGGGAAUCUUGCGCAAUGGGUGGACGCCUGAUGAGGUGACGCCGCGUGGGUGAUGACGGCUUUCGGGUUGUAAACUCCUUUCACCAUCGACGCGGUAGAUGGAGAAGAAGCAUCGGCUAACUACGUGCCAGCAGCCGCGGUAAUUC
rnacentral:rRNA from 1 species